rnacentral:misc_RNA from 1 species
UCAUCACACUUAAAGCUAAAACCAUAAUUGGGAAGUGUACCCACCCUGAGAGGUUUGGCCUCUUCUGAAGUGGGACUUAAAGGAGUUUGUGACUCCCCUUCAGCUUUAAUGUUAGGUCCUUUCUUCAAAGCUUUCACUUUUGUCCUCUCCAUGAGGCCUUCAGAGGAUGCCACAUCAGACUUCCCAGAAUGCUGCUUCUCAUUGAAUGAUUUACUUGUCAAGGGCUGCUUUGACUGUGAAUUUGAUGAAAGUAAACCAUUUGAAACAGUAGGAGGUGCCCUGGCAACUUUUCCAUCCUUGCUCUUCUUAGUCUGAGUGGCUGAGACAUUUUUUGUGUUUGAUGGCUUUUCGCUCUUGCCCUUUCCAGGACCCUUCAGUGAUUUGACAUGCUCUGAAUGUUCAGCAUCUUUUAUUUCCCCUUCCUUAGAACCAGUGAAUCCAUUGCUUCCCACAUGUACAUUUGACUCUUCCCUGGACUCGCCAGCAGAUGAAAUAUGAAUAGUUAAGUCCUCCAACUUAGAUGCAUUGUCUAAAUUUUCAUCUGGCCCUGUAGAGACUGCAAUUUUCCCAAUAGUCCCAUUUACAUUAUUUGAAACAACACCAUCCCCAGAGGCAGGAAUUUGCUCAUGAACACCAUUUUGAUAGCCAGUUUCAAGCCCAUCGA